UAACCAUGGUUAGGGCAAAGGUUCAAAAAUUGUUAUAUCUUUCCCACGCUCCAUAUAGACUUUCCCCAUCUUCUUGAAUAGAUAAAGUGAGAUUUCUACGUAA
rfam:Triticum aestivum genome assembly, contig: Triticum_aestivum_CS42_TGACv1_scaffold_129292_2BL